rnacentral:rRNA from 1 species
CUCCUACGGGGGGCAGCAGUGGGGAAUCUUCCGCAAUGGGCGCAAGCCUGACGGAGCAAUGCCGCGUGAACGAAGAAGGUCUUCGGAUUGUAAAGUUCUGUCCUUAUCGAAGAGAGGGUAUAGAGUGAAGAAUGAUAUACUAGGACGGUAGAUGAGGAGGAAGCCCCGGCUAACUACGUGCCAGCAGCCGCGGUAAUACGUAGGUGGCAAGCGUUAUCCGGAUUUACUGGGUGUAAAGGGCGUGUAGGCGGGAGUGCAAGUCAGAUGUGAAAACUAUGGGCUCAACCCAUAGCCUGCAUUUGAAA